GUCUGACCCAAAAACCCCCGUUUUCAACCCAAAAUGCCCCACCCAAAAAGCCCCAGUUUCGACCCAAAAUCAGCCCCGAAGCGUCUGACCCGAAAAGCGCCGUUUUCAACCCCAAAAUCAGCCCCAAAACGGGGCAGAUCGAAGCCAAAAUGUCUGACUCAAAAACCCCCGCUUUCAACCCAAAAUGCCUGACCCAAAAAGUCCCGCUUUCAACCCAAAAUCAGCCCCAAAAUGGGGCAGAUUCAACCUCAAAUGUCUGACCCAAAAAGCCUCGUUUUCAACCCAAAAUGUGCAACCCAAAAAGCCCCGUUCUCAACCCAACAUGUCUGACCCAAAAACCCACGCUUUCAACCCAAAAUGCCCCACCCAAAAAGCCCCAGUUUCGACCCCAAAUCAGCCCCAAAACGAGCAGAUUCCACCCAAAGAGUCUGACCCAAAAAGCCCUGGUUUCAACCCAAAAUCAGCACCCAAAUGGAGCAAAUUCAACCCAAAGUGUCUGACCCAAAAACCCCCGUUUUCAACCCAAAAUGCCCCACCCCAAAAGCCCCCUUUUCGACCCAAAAUCAGCCCCGAAGCGUCUGACCCGAAAAGCGCCGUUUUCAACCCCAAAUCAGCCCCCAAAUGGGGCACGUUCAACCCAAAAUCAGCCCCAAAACACAGCACGUUUAACCCACAAUGUCUGACCCAAAAAGCCCCGUUUUCAACCCAAAAUCAGCCCCAAAAUAAAGCAAAUUCAACCCAAAAUGCCCCAUCCAAAAAGCCCCAGUUUUGACCCAAAAUCAGCCCCAAAACGAGCAGAUUCCACCC
rnacentral:lncRNA from 1 species